UUUAUUUUAUCUUAAUUAUAAAGAAUUUGUUUUGAAAACAAAAUAUAUUAAAC
rnacentral:tRNA from 1 species